GAAUAUUGGUCAAUGGAGGCAACUCUGAACCAGCCAUGCCGCGUGCAGGAAGAAUGCCCUAUGGGUUGUAAACUGCUUUUAUUUAGGAAGAAUCACCACUACGUGUAGUGGGUUGACGGUACUAAACGAAUAAGGACCGGCUAACUCCGUGCCAGCAGCCGCGGUAACACGGAGGGUCCAAGCGUUAUCCGGAAUCAUUGGGUUUAAAGGGUCCGCAGGCGGACUAGUAAGUCAGUGGUGAAAUCUCUCAGCUUAACUGGGAAACUGCCAUUGAUACUGUUAGUCUUGAAUUCGGUCGAAGUGGGCGGAAUGUGUCAUGUAGCGGUGAAAUGCAUAGAUAUGACACAGAACACCGAUAGCGAAGGCAGCUCACUAGGCCUGAAUUGACGCUCAGGGACGAAAGCGUGGGGAGCGAACAGG
rnacentral:rRNA from 1 species